CAGGAGGUUCCCUCGCGCCGGAGGCGCCGUGUCACAGCCCUAGGGACAACGCGCCGCACGAACCAGCACGCUGCACGACCAACACACACUUCGACCUAUGCCCCCCUUCAAGAUGUUUAUGAAAAUUAAACGAGCCGAAGGCGAGCAGGAGGUUCCCUCGCGCCGGAGGCGCCGUGUCACACCACGACGGACAAUGCGCCGCACGAACCAGCACGCUGCACAACGAACACACACUUCGACCUAUGCCCCCCUUCAAGAUGUUUA